rnacentral:tRNA from 1 species
GAUUAUGGCUCAGUGGUAGAGUGCUUGCCUUGCAUGUGAAAGACCCUGGGUUAAAUCCUCAGCAAUCA